rnacentral:rRNA from 1 species
AACGUAGGUACCGAGCGUUAUCCGGAUUUACUGGGCGUAAAGAGCGCGCAGGCGGUCGUGCAAGUCGCGUGUGAAAGCCCCCGGCUCAACUGGGGAGGGUCACGCGAUACUGCUCGACUCGAAGGCAGGAGAGGGAAGUGGAAUUCCCGGUGUAGUGGUGAAAUGCGUAGAUAUCGGGAGGAACACCAGUGGCGAAGGCGACUUCCUGGCCUGUUCUUGACGCUGAGGCGCGAAAGCUAGGGUAGCAAACGGG